rnacentral:rRNA from 1 species
AGACCCGAAACCCGGUGAUCUAGCCAUGGGCAGGUUGAAGGUUGGGUAACACUAACUGGAGGACCGAACCGACUAAUGUUGAAAAAUUAGCGGAUGACCUGUGGCUGGGGGUGAAAGGCCAAUCAAACCGGGAGAUAGCUGGUUCUCCCCGAAAGCUAUUUAGGUAGCGCCUCGUGAAUUCAUCUCCGGGGGUAGAGCACUGUUUCGGCUAGGGGGCCAUCCCGGCUUACCAACCCGAUGCAAACUGCGAAUACCGGAGAAUGUUAUCACGGGAGACACACGGCGGGUGCUAACGUCCGUCGUGAAGAGGGAAACAACCCAGACCGCCAGCUAAGGUCCCAAAGUCAUGGUUAAGUGGGAAACGAUGUGGGAAGGCCCAGACAGCCAGGAUGUUGGCUUAGAAGCAGCCAUCAUUUAAAGAAAGCGUAAUAGCUCACUGGUCGAGUCGGCCUGCGCGGAAGAUGUAACGGGGCUAAACCAUGCACCGAAGCUGCGGCAGCGACACUGUGUGUUGUUGGGUAGGGGAGCGUUCUGUAAGCCUGCGAAGGUGGCCUGUGAGGGUUGCUGGAGGUAUCAGAAGUGCGAAUGCUGACAUAAGUAACGAUAAAGCGGGUGAAAAGCCCGCUCGCCGGAAGACCAAGGGUUCCUGUCCAACGUUAAUCGGGGCAGGGUGAGUCGACCCCUAAGGCGAGGCCGAAAGGCGUAGUCGAUGGGAAACGGGUUAAUAUUCCCGUACUUGGUGUUACUGCGAAGGGGGGACGGAGAAGGCUAUGUUGGCCGGGCGACGGUUGUCCCGGUUUAAGCGUGUAGGUGUGUGUUCCAGGUAAAUCCGGUUCACUUUAACACUGAGGCGUGAUGACGAGGCACUACGGUGCUGAAGCAACAAAUGCCCUGCUUCCAGGAAAAGCCUCUAAGCAUCAGGUAACAUCAAAUCGUACCCCAAACCGACACAGGUGGUCAGGUAGAGAAUACCAAGGCGCUUGAGAGAACUCGGGUGAAGGAACUAGGCAAAAUGGUGCCGUAACU